rnacentral:rRNA from 1 species
GAUGAACGCUGGCGGCGUGCCUAAUACAUGCAAGUCGAGCGAACGGACGAGAAGCUUGCUUCUCUGAUGUUAGCGGCGGACGGGUGAGUAACACGUGGAUAACCUACCUAUAAGACUGGGAUAACUUCGGGAAACCGGAGCUAAUACCGGAUAAUAUUUUGAACCGCAUUGUUCAAAAGUGAAAGACGGUCUUGCUGUCACUUAUAGAUGGAUCCGCGCUGCAUUAGCUAGUUGGUAAGGUAACGGCUUACCAAGGCAACGAUGCAUAGCCGACCUGAGAGGGUGAUCGGCCACACUGGAACUGAGACACGGUCCAGACUCCUACGGGAGGCAGCAGUAGGGAAUCUUCCGCAAUGGGCGAAAGCCUGACGGAGCAACGCCGCGUGAGUGAUGAAGGUCUUCGGAUCGUAAAACUCCGUUAUUAGGGAAGAACAUAUGUGUAAGUAACUGUGCACAUCUUGACGGUACCUAAUCAGAAAGCCGCGGCUAACUACGUG